rnacentral:rRNA from 1 species
AGCGAACGCUGGCGGCAGGCCUAACACAUGCAAGUCGAGCGGCCGUAGCAAUACGGCAGCGGCAGACGGGAUAGUAACACGUGGGAACGCGCCCUUCGGUUCGGAAUAACUCAGGGAAACUUGAGCUAAUACCGGAUACGCCUUACGGGAAGAUUUAUUGCCGAAGAACGGUCCGCGUCGGAUUAGCUAGUUGGUGAGGUAAUGGCGUCACCAAGGCGACGAUCCGUAGCUGGUCUGAGAGGAUGACCAGCAUCACUGGGACUGAGACACGGCCCAGACUCCUACGGAGGCAGCAGUGGGGAAUAUUGGACAAUGGGCGCAAGCCUGAUCCAGCCAUGCCGCGUGGAUGAUGAAGGCCCUAGGGUUGUAAAGUCCUUUUAACGGGAAGAUAAUGACGGUACCCGUAGAAUAAGCCCCGGCUAACUUCGUGCCAGCCGCCGCUGUAAC